UUGUUUUUCUUCUGGAUGGUUGAUGUUGAAUCUUAAAUGAUAAGCUGAUGUUGAUGUUUGCUAUGUAGCGUGACACAAUGGACGAAAACAGUGGGGCUCCGCCUGAAUCAGUAAACCGCGCUUCAUGGGAGAAUUUCGAGGGAGAGAAUGGCAAGAUUAACAACCAUAUUUGUCACGAUAUUUCCUCUGGUGUGAAGGAAGAAAAUCUUUCUGACAACAGUGCAUUAAUUAGCGAUCCUAAAGCUCUCAGACAACCCGGUAAUUCUUCACUUAAUGGUGAGAAGAGCCUCACAGGAACUGACUUUAAGGAGAAUUUAGAUGAGAAAUCACAACAUUUGGAGACAUCACCGAGCGCGAUAGAACAAUUUAAUCUUGAACCUGUAGUUGAUUCCUCGAAUCGUCUGGAAACGAGCGAUCAGGGAUUAGAUAACGCGUUAGGUAAUCGCGAAUCUUCUCUAAUAUCGAAUACAGGUGAACUGUCUACCGAAAAAAAUUUCAUUCAAUCAAACGAUUUAUCGGAGCGCUCGGCAGAUGGUAUUGUGCUGAACGGAGAAAGCGAAUCACGCUUUUCAGCUGUCGACGAACCGCUUGCCGGAGAAAAGGUUAUUUCUUCAUCAAAAUGGACCACGUUUGAGGAUAGUCGUGAUAAAGAAUUGCACACAGAUGGAGUUGAAAGCAAAUCUGAAGAGUUAUCGAUCGACGAAAAACAGAAAAACUCGAAUAUAAACACACCCAGGACAACCCCGAACAUGGCGGCUUUUGAUUCCCAAGCCGCAGUAACCACAAAUAUUAUCUCCAAUUUGCCUACCGUAACCGACCCCGGUACCUUUGAGGUUCACGCUGCAUCAUUUAAUCAUAAAAAAAAUGGAGAAGGUUUAGCUUCGAAUUCUUUAUCUACGAGCGCUAUGCGAUCAGCUGUUCCUAUUGUCAACCAAGCUUCACCUAACGACAAUGGCGCCCUUCCCUUGUCUUCAGGCAGUUCACAGGAGCCCCGACCCAGCCAUACCUCAAUCACAAACCAUCUAAAAGGAACUGAAUGGGUCAGUUUUGGUGAGGAAGGGAAUUCCAAAGAAAACCAGGCGGGCAAAACAAGUGUAAGUGGGAACGAACAUGGUAACUUAGAAACGGCGAAGCGUCCUGUUGAAAACGAUCUUCGGAAAGGCGAUUUAGCUGUUAAUGACACAAAACAUACAUCAACCUCUACCGUUUUACGAGUAGAAAAGGAGUUGAAUGGAAAAAGUUCAGACCAAACAGCUUCAGUAAUUCCUCCCGUGUCGUUUACCUCGGCCGAAUUGGAUUUACUUGCGAGUAAAUCGUGGAUACAGUUCGAUGAGUCUAGCAACAGUAAGUCAGUGCUGCAAUCGAACUCAAGCGUUGUUCAAACAUCGUCCGCUUCUCACUCGUGGGUCACGUUUGGUGAUUCCAACAUCCCGGUAGGUCAGAAUUUAGACCCUUUAGAGUUGGAUGUUAGUAGUAAGAGCCAAUUCAGUCUUUCAACAUCGAGAAGCCCAAAUCCAUUCACAACGGUACCUCCUUCAUCAACAACCAAUCCUUUCAAGCCUGCUACGCCAAGUAAUUCAAAUCCAUUCCAGGCUGAUGCUACCGCUGUUGUUUCUUCAAGCCCUUAUUCUAUAUCAGGUCAAGGUCCAAUUUCUUCUUCAACUCCUCUUACUGGUGUGAAAAAAAUGUUGGUCGCUGAGGGUAGUCUACAAGAGGCUGGUUUACCAUCCACAGCUGAUUUGAACAUUCCCCAUGGUGUGUGUCCUCUCAGUAACUCAACACCAGUUGACAACAACCAGGCAGUGGUUGCUCAAGAUCAAGUUGAUGCAAGAUCUAAAGUACCAGUUAGUAAAACUCAACAGCCUGCCCAAGUUUGCGAAGAGCCACUGCACGAGGAGAGGUCAUUGACCACAAGUGGCUCAUGGUCUAUGCUUCUCCGCUUCCCUGACAAGAAACAGAAAAUUGGAUCUCGUGAGUGGAAGCCAGUGGUUAUAAAGUUAGAGGGUACCACCUUACAGAUUUUUGAGGAGUAUGAAUUAUCAGCACCCUUCAGAGAGAUUCCUCUACAAGCAUAUUUUGUGUUCACGACACCAAAGUUGCAGUCCUUUGAACAUGGAGCUAAAGUUCAUGCAGUUAAGUUAAAGUAUGUUAAGUACUCAGAAACUAGAAGCCUACGUCAUCGUGGCACUGUUGAACAUGUGGCACAAGGAACACCCAUCAUUAAAGUGGCAUCUCCAAGUCACAAAGUCAUCAGAGAACUUCUUGAAUCUUUCAACAACUCCGUUCGUCUUCUUCCAUCUUACAGAGACAGAGGAAUAACAUACCGUCAUGAUGAAGUGUUUGUUGAUAUUGAAGAUGUCACAAAUGUUCUAUCAUCUGGUGAUGGUACCAUUCUAAAGAAGAAUUCAAAAGUUUUAGUCAAGUUUCGUGCUUUUCUUACAGGUGAUCCUGAAUGUCAGUUAGUUCUAAAUGAUAUUGUUCUAAGAGAACGAGAGGAAGCUCGUCUACAAUCCGAGGAAAAACCUCAGAGGGUUCAUCAUUGGGUGAAACUGCGUCGUUGUGAUUUUCAUAAGUGUGUCAAUGUCACAACUUUUGAACAAUCACAUGCUAUUACAUUUCAUCCAUUAGAUGCAUGUACUUUUGAGCUCAUGCGAUUUCCAGUUGACCAUCACAAGCCUUUACCUCUUCUGUUAAAGACUGUGUUGAAUGUCCAUAGUGAGCAAAGAGUUGAACUCAAAGUAGAAAUCCAAGUGUGUCAGGAAGCAAAGAUGGCGAAGUACAUUCGAAACAAUGUGAUUUUCAGAUUUCCCAUUCCAGAAACUUGGGUACCUCUUUUUAGAACAACAAAGGCCUUUAGAGGCGAGAAGUCCAUCAAAUCCAGUAAGGGGAACCGAGCUGCAGGAAUUAAGAGCAGACUGAGGAAUUCUAAGUGUUCCAUUGCUGUGUCUCUUGGCAAAGCAAAGUAUGAACCAGAAUAUGCAUCUUUGGUGUGGAGAAUUGAUCAACUACCUUUCAUCCACAGCAGAAUUCCAGCGGAUGCACCACAAACACUCACGUGUGUUCUAGAUCUGCCUCCUGGAAUGGAAUACCCAGAAAACUUCAAACCCACUGCAGAGCUUGAGUAUGAUGUGGCCUAUGUGCUAGUUUCGGAUACCACAGUGAUUGCUGUCAAAGUAUCCAAUCAGAACAUUCCUGACAAAUGGGUCUGCUACAGGGCACUGUACCACUAUGAGGUCAACAUUGACAUUUCCAGACCAGCCUCUGGUCCAGUCAGAGAUGUCGGGUGUACACAGCAGUAGAAGGAAGCAGGACAAGAGUACUGUUCUCAGUUAUAUUUGGUCAGGUGAACAAAUUCUAAUGGAUGACAGUGUCAUAAUGGAAGGCCAAAUACAUGUCACCUUGGCCAUGGUUUGCGAUGAAUUGUUGAGUCUUACCUACAUGUUUUAUAAUUUCUGUUGUUGCUGUACUUUUUUUGUUAAAAGAAUGGGAGAGGAAUAGCAACUCUUAAAGAAACUGCAGGAAUAUCAUAUUGUUUUCAGCCAUUUUUAAGUAACAUUUUAGAGAAUUUGACUUGAAAUAGUUUGGUAGUGUGGAAAAACAUCAAAGAGAUAAAAAUUUUCUGAAAAGGAAUGAGAGUGUUCAUAGAUGGAUAGGAUAAAUGCAGAUUGCCAACAUUGAACCCAAAGCAUUCAGGUUUUUUUUUAUUAGUUUUAAUUUUUUUUGUGAUUAUGUGCAAACUGUGCUGUGGCUCUGGUUAGAAAAACAUUUUUAUUUUUAGAGUUCAGUCCUGAGCCAAGUUCAUAAGAUUUUCUUGAGCAGCUCUGCCUUCUUUCUGUUUCAUUCCUUUUUUUGUUUUCAAUUUUAAGAUAGGUGUAAUCCUUAAUGAUGGUGACAUGAUUAUAGAGUUCAACUAUUUUUUGUGAGACUCUUUCACAUGCUCUUUCUGUUUGGUUUAUAUUUUGGCUCAAGUACUGACAGCUGCUUUCUGUUCAGGAAAAUCUUUCCAACAGUGUAAUUAACAAUUUCCUAAAGAAACUGUUGUGUCAAUCAAAUGAAUGGUCUCAAGUCAAGUGCUAAAAAUUGCAUGUGGUAUUGCAUUCCAAUUUUUCAGGCUAGAAUAUCAAAAAUUUGUUGCUUAGAACUUGUGGCUUGUAAACUUGCCUGUGAGUAAUUAAUAAGAAAAAACAGAGUGUGGUAUCACUUUCAACAGUUAAUUUUAAGUUGCUAAAGCAGUACAGGGAUGAACUUUGCUUUCUGAUGUUUUUGGGAUUCUUUUUCUUUUUUACUAGUUUCUAUUAUUUAUGAGAAAUUUAAGUCAGUGCAAAGACUAUCACAUCAGAGAGAAUAUUUUAUCACAGCUUUUCAUUUUAGCGAUCUCAUACCAUCCCUUACUUUUAAUUUGUUUCAUUUAUUAUUAACCUUUUAAAGUAUAGCACAGAGUAAUUGUUGUCAAGUUGUAACAAUACAGCAUCAUUUGAGAACUGAAUUUUAUAUUUUUUAAUGGAAUAAGGAGUUUUUUAUGUGUACUACAGUGCUUCUGAAGGGAAGUUAUAACUUUUAUUUGAAAUGUUUUUGGUGAAAGUUUUACUAUUUUCAAGUUAGAGUAAAAAUUACUCCCUCAGUGUGAUGACCUACUUGAAAAACAGGAAAAAAAAACCUUAAGUGUUAUUUCUGUGGCACUUGAAAUAUUGGCAGUUAGUUUGAAUGUACACCUCAAGUGUUUGGAGCAAUCCUUUUAAAUGUGUUAUCUUCCAGAAUACCAUCGGCUAUAACAAGAAGUACAACAGCAGGUUCAUAAAAGAAGAUUUUAUCAAACAGACCAUUUCAGAAAAGACCUAAGCCUCUGUUUCAAGGUGAGGCUUGUUGCAUAACCUUUGUUGGGAUAAUGACCUUUUAUUGAUAGGCAAAUUUAAGUCAUUUUCACAAUGAAGGCUUUGCACAGGGCUCAUUUUCAAAUGAGGGCUCUUGAAGCUCAGAAAUGGCCUGUUUUUU
rnacentral:misc_RNA from 1 species